rnacentral:rRNA from 1 species
UACGGAGGGUGCGAGCGUUGUCCGGAAUCAUUGGGCGUAAAGGGCGCGUAGGUGGCGGGACAAGCGUGCGGUGAAAGCUCGGGGCUCAACCCCGCGUCGGCCGUGCGAACUGUUUUGCUUGAGCACUGUAGAGGCAGGCGGAAUUCCGGGUGUAGCGGUGGAAUGCGUAGAGAUCCGGAAGAACACCGGUGGCGAAGGCGGCCUGCUGGGCAGUAGCUGACACUGAGGCGCGACAGCGUGGGGAGUAAACAGG